ACCUCCAGGGUGGUUUGGAAAUCUUGUCCAUAUAAUAAUGAUACGAAAUACAACUUGUUGCCUACUAUUUUUAUUAAUAUCACCUUAUUAUCAAUAUAUAGGUACUCGUACUUACAUUUACAAAAAUUAGAAAUGAAUUAGCAAAGUAAAAGUACAAUACCUGCAAAUUACUUUUGUAGUACGUACACUCGAGUAUAUUAAUGAUAAUGUUAUAUUAAUAAAAAUUGAACCUACAUAAUAGUAUUGCGUACAAUUAUUAUAUUUUAAACCCAAUAGCAAUCAAUAGAUUAUAUUAUUUAUUAGCAGAACAGCGCGAAUUAAAGAACUUUUGGACCCAGAAGCGCUAAAAAUUCUCAGGCAGUUUGGCUCCUAGACAAAAAGGUAUUGUUAAAUUUCAAAGUGCUCGUUAUCGUUUCAGACGCACUUAGGUUUUUUAAAUUUAAAAUGCAAUAAUGCAAAUAAAUAUGAUAAGCUUAAAUUAGAGCAAAAUGCUGACAUUGACAUGGAGACAUUGUACGGAAAAAAUAUUUUUUUAAAGGCAUUCUUUUUAUUGAAAUUAAGAUAACACAAGUGAGUCACCUACAUACAUGCAGGGACACACAUCUCGCAAGCACAGGAAACGCAAAUUUUCAUAGAUCCCAUUGUUAUUUGAUGAUACUGAGUUACUGUUUGCUAAUCAACCUUCAUGAGUGCUGAAUCAGAGAUUUUCCUUUAAUUUUAAACACGCACGUGGUACAUCGGUGAUAUCACUGCUUUUUUUGUGGCGCACCUUCGUUCGGACACUAGAUCUGAGAGCAACGCCACAAAGCAGAUGGUUCCGUUUCGGCCGGCGCACGACUGCCCGACAAACAUUUGUAUAUUCCUUAACAAUGUUUCAUUUUCUUGCUUAUGUUAUAAUAUCAAUUGUGUUUAUACUUUCUUUCUUUCUUUCAAUAAAUGUAUCAGCUACA